GAUGAACGCUGGCGGCGUGCCUAAUACAUGCAAGUCGAGCGAACGGACGAGAAGCUUGCUUCUCUGAUGUUAGCGGCGGACGGGUGAGUAACACGUGGAUAACCUACCUAUAAGACUGGGAUAACUUCGGGAAACCGGAGCUAAUACCGGAUAAUAUUUUGAACCGCAUGGUUCAAAAGUGAAAGACGGUCUUGCUGUCACUUAUAGAUGGAUCCGCGCUGCAUUAGCUAGUUGGUAAGGUAACGGCUUACCAAGGCAACGAUGCAUAGCCGACCUGAGAGGGUGAUCGGCCACACUGGAACUGAGACACGGUCCAGACUCCUACGGGAGGCAGCAGUAGGGAAUCUUCCGCAAUGGGCGAAAGCCUGACGGAGCAACGCCGCGUGAGUGAUGAAGGUCUUCGGAUCGUAAAACUCUGUUAUUAGGGAAGAACAUAUGUGUAAGUAACUGUGCACAUCUUGACGGUACCUAAUCAGAAAGCCACGGCUAACUACGUGCCAGCAGCCGCGGUAAUACGUAGGUGGCAAGCGUUAUCCGGAAUUAUUGGGCGUAAAGCGCGCGUAGGCGGUUUUUUAAGUCUGAUGUGAAAGCCCACGGCUCAACCGUGGAGGGUCAUUGGAAACUGGAAAACUUGAGUGCAGAAGAGGAAAGUGGAAUUCCAUGUGUAGCGGUGAAAUGCGCAGAGAUAUGGAGGAACACCAGUGGCGAAGGCGACUUUCUGGUCUGUAACUGACGCUGAUGUGCGAAAGCGUGGGGAUCAAACAGGAUUAGAUACCCUGGUAGUCCACGCCGUAAACGAUGAGUGCUAAGUGUUAGGGGGUUUCCGCCCCUUAGUGCUGCAGCUAACGCAUUAAGCACUCCGCCUGGGGAGUACGACCGCAAGGUUGAAACUCAAAGGAAUUGACGGGGACCCACACAAGCGGUGGAGCAUGUGGUUUAAUUCGAAGCAACGCGAAGAACCUUACCAAAUCUUGACAUCCUUUGACAACUCUAGAGAUAGAGCCUUCCCCUUCGGGGGACAAAGUGACAGGUGGUGCAUGGUUGUCGUCAGCUCGUGUCGUGAGAUGUUGGGUUAAGUCCCGCAACGAGCGCAACCCUUAAGCUUAGUUGCCAUCAUUAAGUUGGGCACUCUAAGUUGACUGCCGGUGACAAACCGGAGGAAGGUGGGGAUGACGUCAAAUCAUCAUGCCCCUUAUGAUUUGGGCUACACACGUGCUACAAUGGACAAUACAAAGGGCAGCGAAACCGCGAGGUCAAGCAAAUCCCAUAAAGUUGUUCUCAGUUCGGAUUGUAGUCUGCAACUCGACUACAUGAAGCUGGAAUCGCUAGUAAUCGUAGAUCAGCAUGCUACGGUGAAUACGUUCCCGGGUCU
rnacentral:rRNA from 1 species